UACUCACUCGCUCUAAUUACAUAAAGAUAAACUCUUUUAAGCAAUUCAUCAAACACCUUGUUUGCGUGCUUUUGUGAGUUAAACCACUUUAGUAAAGGGUUAUAUCAACUCACCUCAAAACUCCUUGAGCCAAUAGGUAGACCCCAGUCCAAUUUAUACCCGUCAAACAAUCGAUUCUACAACAACCAGUGCAUUUUAAAGUAGUACACCUAAUUAUGAAAUUUAUUGAUGAUAUAGAGGAAGAAGGGAAUUAACUAUUCAAUGCUUACCUAUUACUACUUUAGAAUAAUUGACAAUGGGGAAUUUUAUAUACCUGAGUUCAAGAAUAAGUGAUUUGUAAAGAACCCUAGGUUUUCCGUUGACUGCG
rnacentral:lncRNA from 1 species